UGUUUUUUUUUCGCUCGUUUAAAUUGAGCCUAUCUAACGUGUUUAACCAGCCAACGUGUUUAACCAACGUGUUUAACCAACAUGUUUAACCAACGUGUUUAACCAACCAACCAACCAACCAACCAACAAUCCAAUCAAUCAAUGCAUGUUUCCGUUUCAUGUGUUAAAUACGGGAUCCAAGAUGGUUUUUUUUUCGCUUGUUUAAAUUGAGCCUAUCUAACGUGUUUAAC
rnacentral:lncRNA from 1 species